AUGCCUCGUACCGCCAAUAAAAAAUAUGAAGAUGUUUUACCUAAACCAAAAGAUGCAGGCAUUGUAAAACGUGGUCGUGGCAGACCCCCAGGAUCCAAAAAUACUUUCGUAGAUCCCCAAAAAUACUUGUGUAACAAUGCAGAGAAAUUGCCCACUUCAGCACAAGAUGAUUGUGACAUGACAAAAACUAAGACAGACAGUGAGAUUGAACAGGGUAAUAAGCACGAACCAAAUACACAGCAGGAGAAAGGCUCAACAGAAAUUAAAGAAGCAGAUGUUAACAGCAAUUUGGCACAGACGACCCCAAAUUCUCACUUAAAAUAUGAAGUUCAGGCGAAGGGACCAAGUAUCCUUGAUCAAAUUUUCCAUCAGACUGUUGAAAGCCUCGCUUGUAGGAGUUCUCUGAAUAUUGAUCAGCAGCUAACAUCAAGUCUGGGAGACACGUCUUUUAGCCUUCAGAAAUUCAGAGGGAAAAGUGAGAAUAGUAAAUUAGUAAUGAAUAGCAGUGAACUGAUCGAAAAGGGCAUUUGUGGUAAGAAAAAAGCAGAGACUUCUCUGCUGAGAAACGAGAAGGAAGAUAUGAAGGUAUCUGACAACCAAGUAAGGUCACCGUUGUCGUGUGGAGACAUGCCAGAUAACGUGAACUGUUCGGUUAAAGAUGGAGAAACUGCCACUGAGGAGAACUUAAGUAGAAAAGCCACUGUGUUACAGAAUACUGAUUCCCAAAAUGAGAUGGGGAAAGACAUUCAGGACAGAGUGCCUGAGAUUUCUGUCCCGUUAACAGCUGAGGAGGAUAUAAUGAAGGAAAAUAUGAGGCUGGCUGAUGAUAUUGAUGAUGCUGAUCAUGCUGUGUCACCCACAAAGAAAGACUGUGUCGGUUCUUUCAUUGAACUGACAGUGUUGGAGGGAAUAGGAAUGACGUUCUGUAUGAAUCCUGAUAGAACACCAGCAGAACAUCUCAGAGAUGAACAGAACUCUGAAGCUACAGUUUCUAAUGAGUGUUCAUUUGAGGUGACAUCAGACGAAGACGUUCAGGCAGCACAUGGUGUUAACACCCAGAGGAUAGCGGGGUGGCCAACUGUUUAG
rnacentral:lncRNA from 12 species